rnacentral:lncRNA from 1 species
GUGCGUGCGUGCGUGUUUGUGUGUGUGUGUGUGUGUGUGUGUGUGUGUGUGUGAGUUGGCACUGGUGUAAAGAGAAGUGAAGACUGGAGGAGAACACACACUGACAGUAGUCAGUAGUACAGUCGAAGUCGAAGUAGUCGAAGAUGAAAGGCGAUAAAGAAGUAGGAAACUACAGGACCCACAAUCCCCUGCUCAGGACACGCUCACACGGGCCACUGAUGUGGGGGAGGAACAGCUACCCCCCUGCACACCCAUUUAGACCAGUGGACGUUAAGCCCGACGUCCCGCUGGCCCUGGAGCCGGUGUCUCCCCUGGACCUGCGGACGGACGGCAGGACGCUGGACCCAGACGUGUGGGAGAGGCAGCUGCAGCAGGAGCUCCUCCUGAUCCAGAAGCAGCAGCAGAUCCAGAAGCAGCUGCUCAUAAACGAGUUCCAGAAGCAGCAUGAGAACCUGCUCCGCCAGCACCAGGCCCAGCUGCAGGAACACCUGAAGCUGCAGCAGGAGCUCCAAGUGAUGAAACAGCAGCAGGAGCAGCUGGAGAAGGAGAAGAAGCUGGAGCAGCAGAACCAGGAGAGAGAGCUGGAGAGAAACCGUCGCCAGCAGCAGGCCCUCAUCCUCCGGAACCGAGAACGACGGCCCUGUGGUGCGAUGGGUGCUGUGGCGAGCACAGAGGUUAAACAGAAGCUCCAGAACUUCCUGCUGAACAAAACCACCAAGGACUCGCUUCCCACCGGACCCUGCAACGGGUUCACACACAGCGCCAGACUCUGGACCACGACGUCCCAUCACGCCUCUCUGGAGCAGAGUUCACCCCCGCUGGGCGGAGCCUCGCCCUCCUACAGGUUCCCGCUGCCCCCUCUGCAGGACUACAGGGACGACUUCCCUCUGAGAAAGACAGCCUCAGAACCCAAUCUGAAGGUGCGCUCCAGGCUGAAGCAGAAGGUGGCUGAGAGGAGGAGCAGCCCCCUUCUCAGGAGGAAAGAGGGGGCCGUCAUGACACCGUUCAAGAAGAGAGCCCUGGAGCUGCUCGAGUCCAGCAGCAGUAGCAGCGCCCCAGGCUCAGGCCCCAGCUCCCCCAACGGAGCCUCCAGUGCCCUGGGGGCUGAAAACGGGCCAUCAUCCUUACCAACCACCACCAGAACCGAGCGCUGGCCUUCACAGCCCAAGCUGCUGGGUGCCGAGGGUCCGGUGUCCGUCCUGAGCCUCUACACGUCCCCUUCCCUACCCAACAUCAACCUGGGCCUGUCCGCCGCCUCCUCUCCAAUCAGCGCUGGUUUGGGGCUGAAGGAGAAGCAUGGUGAGAGCAGUGGGGUGUUGGGUCUGCCCCCUCACGUCCUGGGCCCCGUGCCCCUCACCGUCAGCAUGGACUCCAAAGUGAGCAGCAGCCAGCAGGCCCUCCUCCAUCACCUCCUGCAUAAGGAGCAGCUCCGCCAGCAGAAGAUCCUGACCACCGGUGAGAACCUCAAAUACAUACAAACAUACAAUAUUACAAUAGAGCAGCCGAGCGGGCUGCUGCACGAGUCCGAGGAGGAGGACAGCGCGCUGGAGCACGACGGCAGCUCGCCCCCUAUUGGCGUCAUCCGGAAGUGCAGCCCCAGCAGCAGCACUGAGGUCAUCAAAAUCAAGGAGGAACCAAUCGACAGCGACGACGAAUCACAGGCCAAAGAGAGCACUUACCUUCACCAGGUGAACGGAAGGCUGGUGAUACAGGCUGCCAUCUGA